rnacentral:rRNA from 1 species
AGUGAACGCUGGCGGUAGGCCUAACACAUGCAAGUCGAACGGCAGCACAGUAAGAGCUUGCUCUUACGGGUGGCGAGUGGCGGACGGGUGAGGAAUACAUCGGAAUCUACUUUUUCGUGGGGGAUAACGUAGGGAAACUUACGCUAAUACCGCAUACGACCUACGGGUGAAAGCAGGGGAUCUUCGGACCUUGCGCGAUUGAAUGAGCCGAUGUCGGAUUAGCUAGUUGGCGGGGUAAAGGCCCACCAAGGCGACGAUCCGUAGCUGGUCUGAGAGGAUGAUCAGCCACACUCGAACUGAGACACGGUCCAGACUCCUACGGGAGGCAGCAGUGGGGAAUAUUGGACAAUGGGCGCAAGCCUGAUCCAGCCAUACCGCGUGGGUGAAGAAGGCCUUCGGGUUGUAAAGCCCUUUUGUUGGGAAAGAAAAGCAGCAGGUUAAUACCCCGCUGUUCUGACGGUACCCAAAGAAUAAACACCGGCUAACUUCGU